UACGUAGGGUGCAAGCGUUGUCCGGAAUUAUUGGGCGUAAAGAGCUUGUAGGCGGUCUGUCGCGUCUGCUGUGAAAAUCCGGGGCUCAACCCCGGACUUGCAGUGGGUACGGGCAGACUAGAGUGUGGUAGGGGAGACUGGAAUUCCUGGUGUAGCGGUGAAAUGCGUAGAUAUCGGGAGGAACACCUGUGGCGAAGGCGGCCCCCUGGUUGGAUACUGACGCUGAUACGCGAAAGCGUGGGGAGCAAACAGGG
rnacentral:rRNA from 1 species